CCUACGGGAGGCAGCAGUGGGGAAUUUUGGACAAUGGGCGCAAGCCUGAUCCAGCCAUGCCGCGUGCAGGAUGAAGGCCUUCGGGUUGUAAACUGCUUUUGUACGGAACGAAAAGACUCUGGUUAAUACCUGGGGUCCAUGACGGUACCGUAAGAAUAAGCACCGGCUAACUACGUGCCAGCAGCCGCGGUAAUACGUAGGGUGCGAGCGUUAAUCGGAAUUACUGGGCGUAAAGCGUGCGCAGGCGGUUAUAUAAGACAGAUGUGAAAUCCCCGGGCUCAACCUGGGAACUGCAUUUGUGACUGUAUAGCUAGAGUACGGCAGAGGGGGAUGGAAUUCCGCGUGUAGCAGUGAAAUGCGUAGAUAUGCGGAGGAACACCGAUGGCGAAGGCAAUCCCCUGGGCCUGUACUGACGCUCAUGCACGAAAGCGUGGGGAGCAAACAGGAUUAGAUACCCUGGUAGUCCACGCCCUAAACGAUGUCAACUGGUUGUUGGGUCUUCACUGACUCAGUAACGAAGCUAACGCGUGAAGUUGACCGCCUGGGGAGUACGGCGCAAGGUUGAAACUCAAAUGAAAUUGACGGCGNGAGACGAGCGACGGACGACGACGAGGGAGGAGG
rnacentral:rRNA from 1 species